rnacentral:rRNA from 1 species
UACGUAGGGUGCGAGCGUUGUCCGGAAUUAUUGGGCGUAAAGAGCUCGUAGGCGGUGUGUCGCGUCGGCCGUGAAAACCUGGGGCUUAACUCUGGGCGUGCGGUCGAUACGGGCAUUCACUGGAGUUCGGCAGGGGAGACUGGAAUUCCUGGUGUAGCGGUGAAAUGCGCAGAUAUCAGGAGGAACACCGGUGGCGAAGGCGGGUCUCUGGGCCGAUACUGACGCUGAGGAGCGAAAGCAUGGGUAGCGAACAGG